rnacentral:tRNA from 1 species
CAAAGUAUAGCUAAUAGUAGUUUAGUAUUUCAUUUACAUUGAMGUGAGUUAUCGUGCAAAYCGGUUUACUUUGAA